GAUGAAGAACGUAGCGAAAUGCGAUAAGUAAUGUGAAUUGCAGAAUUCAGUGAAUCAUCGAAUCUUUGAACGCACAUUGCGCCCGCCAGUAUUCUGGCGGGCAUGCCUGUUCGAGCGUCAUUACAACCCUCAGGCCCCCGGGCCUGGCGUUGGGGAUCGGCGGAGCCCCCCGUGGGCACACGCCGUCCCCCAAAUGCAGUGGCGGACCCGCCGCAGCUUCCAUCGCGUAGUAGCUAACACCUCGCGACUGGAGAGCGGCGCGGCCACGCCGUAAAACACCCAACUCUUCUGAAGUUGACCUCGAAUCAGGUAGGAAUACCCGCUGAACUUAAGCAUAUCAAUAAGCGGAGGA
rnacentral:misc_RNA from 1 species